AUGAAGCGCCUGCUCAGACGGCUGUCCCGCGUGGCCGCGGCCGACGCCUGCGCAGCCGCCGCGUACCAGCCGCUCCGGCCCGACUCCGCGGCGAAGGCCUCCUCCACGGCUUCAUCUUCGUCCUCCUCGUUCUUCGGCGCGCGAAGGCUCGGCCGCGGCGCGCGGGUGCCGGAGGGGCACGUGCCGGUGUGCGUGGGCGAGGAGGGCGGCCCCGUGGAGCGCUUCGCCGUGCGGGCCGAGCUCCUGGGCCAGCCGGCGUUCAAGGCCCUGCUCCGGCGCGCCGCGCAGGAGUACGGCUACGGCCACCCGGGUGCUCUCCGGAUCCCCUGCGCCGUCGCCGACUUCCGCCGCCUGCUCAUCGGCCUCUCCGACCCCGGCUGCCAGGCCACCGACGACGACGACUCCGCGCUCUACUACUAG
rnacentral:rRNA from 1 species